GUGGGGAAUAUUGGACAAUGGGGGGAACCCUGAUCCAGCAAUGCCGCGUGCAGGAAGAAGGCCUUCGGGUUGUAAACUGCUUUUGUACGGAACGAAACGGUCCGGGUUAAUACCCUGGGCUAAUGACGGUACCGUAAGAAUAAGCACCGGCUAACUACGUGCCAGCAGCCGCGGUAAUACGUAGGGUGCAAGCGUUAAUCGGAAUUACUGGGCGUAAAGCGUGCGCAGGCGGUUUUGUAAGACAGGCGUGAAAUCCCCGGGCUCAACCUGGGAAUUGCGCUUGUGACUGCAAGGCUGGAGUGCGGCAGAGGGGGAUGGAAUUCCGCGUGUAGCAGUGAAAUGCGUAGAUAUGCGGAGGAACACCGAUGGCGAAGGCAAUCCCCUGGGCCUGCACUGACGCUCAUGCACGAAAGCGUGGGGAGCAAACAGGAUUAGAAACCCGGGUAGUCC
rnacentral:rRNA from 1 species